UACGUAGGGUGCAAGCGUUGUCCGGAAUUAUUGGGCGUAAAGAGCUCGUAGGCGGUUUGUCGCGUCUGCUGUGAAAACCCAGGGCUUAACCCUGGGCCUGCAGUGGGUACGGGCAGACUAGAGUGCGGUAGGGGAGAUCGGAAUUCCUGGUGUAGCGGUGAAAUGCGCAGAUAUCAGGAGGAACACCUAUUGCGAAGGCAGCUCGCUGGGACGUAACUGACGCUGAGACGCGAAAGCGUGGGGAGCAAACAGG
rnacentral:rRNA from 1 species